rnacentral:rRNA from 1 species
UGGGGAAUUUUGGACAAUGGGCGCAAGCCUGAUCCAGCCAUGCCGCGUGAGUGAAGAAGGCCCUCGGGUUGUAAAGCUCUUUUGUCCGGAAAGAAAAGCUUCGGGUUAAUACCCCGGGGUUCUGACGGUACCGGAAGAAUAAGCACCGGCUAACUUCGUGCCAGCAGCCGCGGUAAUACGAAGGGUGCGAGCGUUACUCGGAAUUACUGGGCGUAAAGCGUGCGUAGGUGGUUGUUUAAGUCUGAUGUGAAAGCCCUGGGCUCAACCUGGGAAUGGCAUUGGAAACUGGGCAGCUAGAGUGCGGUAGAGGGUAGUGGAAUUCCCGGUGUAGCAGUGAAAUGCGUAGAGAUCGGGAGGAACAUCUGUGGCGAAGGCGACUGCCUGGACCAGCACUGACACUGAGGCACGAAAGCGUGGGGAGCAAACA